CCAAGGAGUCUAGCGUGUGCGCGAGUCAUUGGGUGUAAAACCUAAAGGCGCAAUGAAAGUGUCAGGGGUGCCUCCUUUAGGAGCGCUCCCCGUCGGGAGGAUGGGCCGCCGUACGAUCACUCGUCGGAGCCCCGCACUCCCGGGGCGUCUCGUUCUCAUCACGAGUGGAGACGCACCAGGAGCGCACACGCUGGUACCCGAAAGAUGGUGAACUAUGCCUGGCCAGGACGAAGCCAGGGGAAACCCUGGUGGAGGUCCGAAGCGAUUCUGACGUGCAAAUCGAUCGUCUGAGCUGGGUAUAGGGGCGAAAGACCAAUCGAACCAUCUAGUAGCUGGUUCCCUCUGAAGUUUCCCUCAGGAUAGCUGGCUCUCGGGAAGAGACGAGUCUCAUCCGGUAGAGCGAAUGAUUAGAGGUGAUGGGGUCGAAACGACUUCAACCUAUUCUCAAACUCCCAAUAGAUGAGAGCCCCGGCUUGCUUAAAAGUGAAGCCGCGGGACUCGGAUCAGAGAUGCCAAGUGGGCCAAUUUU
rnacentral:rRNA from 2 species